rnacentral:lncRNA from 1 species
CUCAGAACCCCGAAAAUGUUAUUUCAAAGACUCGCACUCUAAAACCACUCUGGUCCAAAUUUCGUGGUUAACUUACAAAUAACCCUACUUGGGUUAACUUAACAUUCCUGGUUAAAUUUCCUGGUUAUUCUAGAUCUCACUUUCUACCAUUACCUGGUUAUUGCAACAAGGAAUCUGGUUAUAUUUGACUAGAACGUCCUUGCUAAAAUGACCAGACUAGUCCCGUGGUCAUUUAUCCACCUAACAUCGCAAACUGGUCAAAUUAACUUAAAAAAAAAGGAUUAAAAAACCCAGGAAACUUAACUUGCCUUUAAGGUUAAAUAGGAGAAUUUUAACCAGAGUGUUUUUAGAGUAUAUCAAAAUUCGCUAUAAUGCUCCACCCCCCCCCCC